GACAGAGGGGGCAAGCGUUGCUCGGAAUCACUGAGCGUAAAAAGCGCGUAGGCGGGAUGGCAAGUCAGUCGUGAAAUCUCUCGGCUCAACCGAGAAACGUCGGCUGAUACUGCCGUUCUUGAGGGAUGCAGAGGAGACUGGAAUUCCCGGUGUAGCAGUGAAAUGCGUAGAUAUCGGGAGGAAUACCGAUGGCGAAGGCAGGUCUCUGGACCGGUACUGACGCUCAGGAGCGAAAGCCAGGGGAGCAAACAGG
rnacentral:rRNA from 1 species